rnacentral:rRNA from 1 species
UNUGACUUGAGUGCAGAAGGGGAGAGUGGAAUUCCAUGUGUAGCGGUGAAAUGCGUAGAUAUAUGGAGGAACACCAGUGGCGAAAGCGGCUCUCUGGUCUGUCACUGACGCUGAGGCUCGAAAGCGUGGGUAGCGAACAGGAUUAGAUACCCUGGUAGUCCACGCCGUAAACGAUGAGUGCUAGGUGUUAGGCCUUUCCGGGGCUUAGUGCCGGAGCUAACGCAAUAAGCACUCCGCCUGGGGAGUACGACCGCAAGGUUGAAACUCAAAGGAAUUGACGGGGGCCCGCACAAGCGGUGGAGCAUGUGGUUUAAUUCGAAGCAACGCGAAGAACCUUACCAGGUCUUGACAUCCCGAUGCUAUUCUUAGAGAUAGGAAGUUACUUCGGUACAUCGGAGACAGGUGGUGCAUGGUUGUCGUCAGCUCGUGUCGUGAGAUGUUGGGUUAAGUCCCGCAACGAGCGCAACCCUUAUUGUUAGUUGCCAUCAUUGAGUUGGGCACUCUAGCGAGACUGCCGGUAAUAAACCGGAGGAAGGUGGGGAUGACGUCAAAUCAUCAUGCCCCUUAUGACCUGGGCUACACACGUGCUACAAUGGUCGGUACAACGAGUUGCGAGCCGGUGACGGCAAGCUAAUCUCUGAAAGCCGAUCUCAGUUCGGAUUGGAGGCUGCAACUCGCCUCCAUGAAGUCGGAAUCGCUAGUAAUCGCGGAUCAGCACGCCGCGGUGAAUACGUUCCCGGGCCUUGUACACACCGCCCGUCACACCACGAGAGUUUGUAACACCCGAAGUCGGUGAGGUAACCUUUUAGGGGCCAGCCGCCUAAGGUNGGA